CCAAAACCUUCUUCAUGACAUAGUCUGAGUCAGAGAUGUUGGCUGGUGGCUCUGGUGUGAUUGGGGAUGGAGUGGUGCUGGGCAGACUGGCUGAGAUAGUCUGAUAGUUUGACUGGGCCAUCAUCCAGAAAGACCCCAGACCAUGGCAGGGUCAUCAGAGGAAGGAUUAACAGCUGCAUGAGCUGUGCACCAACUGCCCCAGCUUGGAUUCGAACAGGGAACCAUGGAUUCACAGCCAGAUACACCAGCUAUUGCACCAUGGCAAUGAGUGAAUGACACAUGGCCAGUGAGGAUGGUAUACAGACAGACUUGUUGGAUGGCAGCCAGCUCAUACCGUCAUGGAGAUGUACCCUUGCAGGAAGCACACAGCUGAGGGAUGCAGGCGAGACAUGUAUGCCAUGCUGUGCCUUUUAGUAUUUUGAGCUUAGAAGCCCAUUUUCUACAUGUGCAUCUUGGAGGCCUACUUAUUUUUUUCUAAGUCAGUAAAUGAUAAAAAUGCCUGGCUAUUCUUUUUGCUUUUGUAAUGGAUUUGAUUUUAAGCAGUAUUUUCUUGAUAUUUAUUUUAAAAUUACAUGGUCUUUAGGAAACAAAAUGUAAUUUAGAUCAUUCUUCUAAACUUGCUUCUCUGAUUAAUAAAAUAAUUAUCAGGUUGAAUAUUAAGUGUUUAGGCUCAAAAUAUAUUUCAGUAAUGGGUUCUAGAAGUGGGUGAAAAUGAGAGUAAGGAUGCCUCCACACUGUUGAACACUAUUUAUGGUACCAUAUCUUACUGUGUAGCAGGAUGACAUAAACACAGAAUCGAGGAAAACUGAUCUGGCAACAAAAUACUUUCUACUCGUACUGGGCAAAGUCCACCUGAUAAAGCUUGGAAUUGAUGUCUAGAGUCAUUGUGCCCAAGGACUAGUGUGUGUGGGGACAGUAAUUGCCGUUGCUGAUUUUGUGAGAUUUAAAAAUGUGAGUCAUUGUUGAUCUGGCCAAGGGAGAGAGGUGGUUGUUGCCAGUGUCCAAUGCUGUACAACAUUACUAUUAUGGUGCUCAAUAAGGCACUAUGCUGAAUAAUAAUUGCUGUGAGGACAAGGUGAGAAAAGGAAUGAUGCAAGGUGUGGUUACAUAGAAGAAAUUAAAGGAUAAAAGGAGGAGCCAUAUAAUUUUAUAUGAACUGCAACAUAGUUGCAGUCUUUACAAACAUUCUUCAAUUUAUUAAUUUACUUUAUGCCCUUAUUUGAUGUUCCAUAAAGCAGGGGUUCUGCUGUUAGAUUGGUAAACAACAGGCUCGCUCUGUUUUUUCCUUGAUAGAUAUUUGGCUUGUUUUUCCUUGAUAGACAUUUGACAGGUUAGGUAAGACAAGAGCAAUUAAUAGCCUCAGAUCACACUCUAAACACCUAACUUCCUGAGUUGUGUGCUUGACAGUGUUGUAGUUCAUUGCCUUUAUCCUGCCAGAUGGGCUGAAGUCCUAAACUAUGGACACAAACACGGGCAGUGACUGUUAGAUUGUGGUGCUCAUUUCUCGUCAUCAUUAUUAUCUGUUAGACUGUGGUGCUCAUUUCUGAUGUCAUCAUUAUUAUCUGUUAGACUGUGGUGCUCAUUUCUGACGUCAUUAUUAUUAUCUGGUAAUAGUAUUUGUCCAAUGAACAGUUUGACCUGGUAGAUGCAUUCUAAUGGUGUUCAACCAAAAAAAUAAGAUGCAUGAUGAACAUUUCAGUUCUGACAAAUUCCUGCCACAUGUGAAUAACUUUGUAAAGUUGUUUUUUAUCAUCCUUUGUAUUUGCAACAACAGCAUGAUUGGAAUUCCAGGAACUUGUAUUUCAAAAAUGUUUCUGCCUCUCCAAGCUUUCUCCUAAUACAGACAUUGGUUAAUGCACCACACUCUUUGGGUCACAACAUUGAUGGAAUAUAAUUUCCCUUGUAUUUUGUUUAAUAAUUAUUUACCUGUUCUGUGGGGCCAUCAGUCUGGUGGCUUACAAAUACUAACUGACAGCCUUGUUAUUUAUUUACCUGUUCCAUGGUGCCAGAUCUGUUGGCAUACAAAUAUUAUUAAUUAACAGUCUCUUCAUUUAUGGGCUUCUCUUUGGUAUUAUUGCCUUUAAGUCUUCAAAAGUACAGGAUAUGAGCCCUCACCCUUUUGUUGAAGACAACAAAUACUAAAUGCAAACCUAUCCUAGUCAGUUCAUUUCUCUAUGUAUCCCUGACUAUGGACCAAUAAACCAAGUAGAUCAACCAACAAAA